rnacentral:tRNA from 1 species
AAGGGAGACCUAAUUCGGGUAGAAGACGAAAAAAUAGUAGUCGAAACCAAGAAUCAAUCCCAAAAGGUCGGAACGAGGUAUGUGGCUUUCAAACUAGGUUCUGGGUUCACAAAAGACCUGAAUCAGGAACAAGGGCUAUUAGCUCAGGUGGUUAGAGCGCACCCCUGAUAAGGGUGAGGUCCCUGGUUCGAGUCCAGGAUGGCCCACCUGCACAGGUGGCAAAAACAAGAGAAACGAGGAAUCAGCACCUUGUCUUACUUACAUAGUAAGAGAGAAUGCUGGCUCUGAGUAAAGAGUCCAGAGGAACCUUGAAAACUGCAUAGAGCUAGGUGAAAAAGCCAAAAAAGAAGACCGCAA